CCUUGCUAUGUGCAGGGUUGCUGACCCGACCAGACCACCAGCCCAGGUUGCCCAGAGCCAUGUCCAGCCUGGCCCUGAACAUCUCUAGGGAUGGCACACAGGGAUCCACAACCUCUCUGGGCAUCCUGUUCCAAUAGAGAAUAGUUGAAGUCCACUACUGGUCUUACAAAUGUCAUUCUUGGAGAGCCUCACAUCUGACCAACAUACUGCCACCCAAACCAUUCCUUGCCCAGCACAGAGAGUGCAGUUACUUAAUCAGACUUCCUGGUAGGUAAUAUAACUGUUACUUUCUUUUGUUGAAAUCUGCAAGUUAAAUUCAGGACAAAGCCUGUCAGAUUUAAGGAUCCCAUCUUUCAGCUCAGAGAAGCCAGGCAGUAAAUGUCACCUUUUCUUUGGACAGUAAUUUAAUGAGAUCACACACUAAUGAACUUCAGGGCAUUCCAACACUCACUCCUGCUAUGUUUGUAUUGCCAGCGUUAGCCCGUUGCUGAACUGACAAAGCACGCAUCAUGCUGGCAACAGUGUAUGGUCACUUAAGUGGUUGACACCCUUACAGCUACUUAUGACUCCAGCUCGUGGAAAAGUUACAAGAGGAGGAGAGAAAGCAAAGUCAAGAGAGGCAGCAAUGCAUGCCAUCUUCCGUGCUGGUGAAGGACAAAGCAGCCCUGGUUUUAACUGUGCCCACUUCCUCACAGCCAGAUCCUUGCUUUGCGCCUAUUUGGAGGCCCAGGUUUUCAGGGCCUGAUCUUCAUCAAAGACAAUUAGCUGCCUGCUGGCCUCUUCCAUCCAGUCAAAAGGUGAAAGCUGGGAUAAGAUAUCUUCUUCAGCUUUGCAUCUGCUACUCCAGAACUUGUUCAAAUAGCACAACUGGUGACCACAUUAGUUUAUUUUAUCACUCAAGCUUUGAUGCACUGAUAACAAACAUAUCAGCAAAACUCUGGGACACAUUCACUAAUAAUAAACAGAUAACUAAACCCUGCCUGAGAGUUUGUUGGAAAAUGGGAAAUGCUUUCUCCAUAACAUAUUGUUGCAAAACUAUAAAAAUAAAUAGUGAAAUAUUUCCAUAUAUAACCAAAUACGACAUCAAAUAAAUAAAGCAUUCUAGCCUCCUCAAGCAGGGGGGAGACCAAUCUAAGUUCCAUGCCUGUAAUAAGUUCCUGCAGACCAAGAGCAGAGUCAAUCCAAGGACUUCACAGAGAUCCAUUGAUCAGAUCUACAGGCACAGUUUUAAGGUUCUUCUCAUCCAUUUUUUUCUGUCAUGAUACUCUGAUGUGCCUUCCUCUGCUCUUAAAGUCUUGACAUUACAUGAG
rnacentral:lncRNA from 1 species